GUCUCGAUGAGGUUGAGAGAGUUUAGAUCAUCAGCUUAAGUUAGAGGUCGAGUCGAAGACUGGCAUGGAUUUCAAUUCGACUUUGGAAACGGAGACGUUCUCUUGUACUCUGCAUGAAAGGGAGGUCUCUGUCGUCUGAUUCAGCACCUGUUCUCCUAAGCGAAGAAUCUGAGGCUUCUCACCUGCGUAGAGAAAGAAAUUGGGUUCAAAUCUUGUUCCGGUGGUUGAUCGAUUUAAUUCGCAUGCAAAAGCAAAAGCUGGGGUGACUCUCCAAUCUGAUUUUAGCAUUGGAACUCGACCGUUCAUGAACGACCAUAUGUUCCAACGCUUGAAAACCGCAGCAGCCAAGUGCGUUAAGACUCGGGCCGUUCAUGAACAACCAUAUAUGUCUUAACGCAGGAGCAGAUCACCGUGAAGGUUGGCCGUUCAUGAAAGACCAUGUAUUUCUCGGUAGCUUGGGAGAACUUCAACAAAAGAAGGAAGGUUGUUCAUGAACAGCCUAUCUUUUGUUGACAGCAAGCAAUCUGGACGGUAUAUUUCCCUGCCAAAGAAGACGAGAAUAGCAUGGAUGCGUUGUAUACCUGAGCUUCAGCUUGACUUGUUGACGGAUCUGCUUUGAUUUCACUCUCUGUUUUGGCGGAGCUUUAGCUUUUUGCUUGCUGAAUAUUUCUUUCCCUCUCCCUGUGUAUUUCUCUUCAGCGUGGCCACUUUUAUAUAAUAGUGGUUGGAUAGUUGAUGCCUUGUAUUUGAAUUUGAAUAACAGCUCAACUUUAUCACUUGUUAUCUUUUGAAUUAGUCAAAUAACUUGACCAAGACUUGAAUCAAGGCUAACAGAACAUUAUCUCCUCUAACUUGACGUC